rnacentral:sRNA from 1 species
GGAAAAUUGGUGGAUUUCAAGUAAUCAAGCAAUCAAAGGUGGUGAGUCCUCCGACAAGGGCAAGAAAUUUGUACCCGAAGAUCGAUAGUUGGAGUACUAUAGAAAUUCGACUCCUGAAAUACUCAGAAUAGAUUGUAGAUAGCUGAUCGCAUCGAGGACUACCAUUGGAAUUGCAUUUUUCAAACUGUAGGUUCAUAGUCCUCUUUACUUUUGAAUAUUUGGUGAUCCCACUUGUUACUGUAAAUUAAAUUUCAUACUCUAGUUAUCUGUACUACUGUAUAUAGGAAUUUAUAUAUAUUUUACUUAAUA